rnacentral:rRNA from 1 species
GUGGGGAAUAUUGGACAAUGGGCGCAAGCCUGAUCCAGCAAUGCCGCGUGUGUGAAGAAGGUCUUCGGAUUGUAAAGCACUUUCGACGGGGACGAUGAUGACGGUACCCGUAGAAGAAGCCCCGGCUAACUUCGUGCCAGCAGCCGCGGUAAUACGAAGGGGGCUAGCGUUGCUCGGAAUGACUGGGCGUAAAGGGCGCGUAGGCGGUUGAUACAGUCAGAUGUGAAAUUCCAGGGCUUAACCUUGGGGCUGCAUUUGAUACGUAUUGACUAGAGUUCGAGAGAGGGUUGUGGAAUUCCCAGUGUAGAGGUGAAAUUCGUAGAUAUUGGGAAGAACACCGGUGGCGAAGGCGGCAACCUGGCUCGAUACUGACGCUGAGGCGCGAAAGCGUGGGGAGCAAACAGGAUUAGAUACCCGUGUAGUCC